AGGGUUUCACUUAAGUUGGCUUUCUUUACUCUCUUUUUGAUAGCUGUGUUAGGUUAGUCUUUCUCCUCUGCAUUUAGAUGCUCAUGGGGGAGUGAUUUUUUAAAAAUUACUUUUUCCCGUAAUCAUUUUCAAUUACACAUUAAAAAAUAAAUCAUUUUUCAAAUUUUCAAAAACUUUUCUUUACCCUUUUAGCAUACGUUCUUCAAAAAAUGCACUUCCACACGACACAUUGAUAUAUGCUCCCCACUUUUCAACUUUUGAAUAAUAUCUAUUUUUAAUAUCUUUUGUUAAUUUUUUUGAAGAUACAAUUUUCUCUUCAAUUAGGUACCAAAUGGUUUCUCUUCCCUUUAAUAUUCUUGAAAAUUUAGGUGAAGUUAAUAAGAAUUUCUUAUCCAUUUAGACAUUCUAGUUUUCCCCGUCAAUAUAGAUAUUAAGCUUUAUAUUAUCGAGAAUCUUAUCAACUUUGUGUUGAUGACAUUAUAACCAAAGGACACUAUAUUGAUUUUUGCAUAAAAUUUUAGGCGGACAACACGUUUGAAUUUAGCAUGAAAAAUUAGCUCAAGUUGUACUUUCGUCAUUAUUAAAUAUUCACUCGUGUUUUAAAUAUGACUCGGGGUUUCGAACGUUAAAUUAAAUUUUAUGAAUAGCAAUUCAACGUUGAAAUAUUACACGAUAAAAUUGACGAUGUUUGCAUUUUUUAUAAAAUAAUUUAACUACAUAUUUUUCUUUUCUUUUUGUUAUUGUAGUUUUGCCACUGCCAAAGACUUAUGUGAUGCAAGUGGAGGCCAUGAAAUUUCAAGCAGGUACAACAACAAUGUCAAGAAAGCUACUACAAUGUGGGAAUAGAUGUACCAAAUGUGCCUCCAACGAUAUAUGCCUUGCAUGUGGCUGUGGUGUCAAAUGUACUUCUUUAGGUUUUUGUACUUAACAUAAUAAUAAAGAUAGUAACCCUAAUGACUCUGUCAAAUUUCGAGUCUUUUAUCUAAGAUAUAUUUGAAUUAGAACUCUGUAUUUUGUGC
rnacentral:lncRNA from 1 species